rnacentral:rRNA from 1 species
UACAGAGGUCUCAAGCGUUGUUCGGAUUCAUUGGGCGUAAAGGGUGCGUAGGUGGCGCGCUAAGUCAGGUGUGAAAUUUCGGAGCUUAACUCCGAAACUGCAUUUGAUACUGGCGUUGCUUGAGGACUGGAGAGGAGACUGGAAUUCAUGGUGUAGCAGUGAAAUGCGUAGAGAUCAUGAGGAAGACCAGUGGCGAAGGCGGGUCUCUGGACAGUUCCUGACACUGAGGCACGAAGGCCAGGGGAGCAAACGGG